UACGAAGGGGGCUAGCGUUGCUCGGAAUCACUGGGCGUAAAGGGUGCGUAGGCGGGUCUUUAAGUCCGGGGUGAAAUCCUGGAGCUCAACUCCAGAACUGCCUUCGAAACUGGGAGUCUUGAGUUCGGGAGAGGUGAGUGGAACUGCGAGUGUAGAGGUGAAAUUCGUAGAUAUUCGCAAGAACACCAGUGGCGAAGGCGGCUCACUGGCCCGAUACUGACGCUGAGGUGCGAAAGCGUGGGGAGCAAACAGG
rnacentral:rRNA from 1 species